rnacentral:rRNA from 1 species
GACGAACGCUGGCGGCGUGCUUAACACAUGCAAGUCGAGCGGUAAGGCCUCUUCGGGGGGUACACGAGCGGCGAACGGGUGAGUAACACGUGGGCGACCUGCCCUCAGCUCUGGGAUAAGCCUGGGAAACUGGGUCUAAUACCGGAUAUGACCUCUUGUUGCAUGACUUGGGGGUGGAAAGUGUGUCCUUCGUUGGGUCGG